rnacentral:pre_miRNA from 1 species
AAUAAAUACAUUUGUAGAUUUCUAUAUUGAACGUUUAACGGUCUAUCUUAUUUAUUAUUUUUUAUAAUUAAUUACUAGAUGAUAAAUCAUGAAUAUUACUUUACGCGUGACUUAUUUUUCUUAAUAUUUUUUACAAAUUUUUAAGUAAUACAGACUGUUAAACAUUGGACAUAAAAACUCACGAAUAAACUUAUU